rnacentral:lncRNA from 1 species
CCUAGUUCCAAUUAUCUAUGCCUGUAUGCCGCUCUGUAUGGCAGGCUUCACUGAGAGAAAGACUAACAAACAGCCACACAAUGAUAAAAACUUGCUAAAGCCUGCUAUUGUAUAAGCAUU